rnacentral:lncRNA from 1 species
UUAUUUAUUAUGUUGCACAAUGGAAUCCACUUUUUCUUUUUUUGACUAAAAGUUUGUUAAGGAUGCAAAUAUUCGCAAGUAAUAUGAGGAAGGUCUCAUCUCUCAGUUUCUGGCAGCUCCUUUGGUGUCUGCAAUAUUUAUUCAGUGACUUAGUACAGGGUCAUGGAGAGUUUCUCCCAGAGCAGAAUCUAAUGCCAAGUGAAUGUUGUAAGAGGAGUUAAAACAGCUGAUUUAUGUUUAUAAUGUCUCUUAGUAACGUGUACUAUUGUUAAUUAAAAAGCCAUCCUCCUGUAAUAAUUCUCAGGUUGCACAGGAUCGUUAUUGCACGAGGCUGUGCAAAAAUGUAAUACACUUCUAUGAGAUUAUUUCUGAUAUUGCUAAGCCCACAUGCUAUAAAAUACUAAGUGCUCACCAAAAAUGAAUCAAUGGAAAAAAAAACCCUAACCCUUUUUACUCUAAAAGCUAAUGAACUAUGAUUUCUUUUUAUUUGUCUUUUGGGUUUAAAACCUCCAGACCUCAUUUUCAAACUCUUUUUCUGAAUCCAAGAGAGCUAGUUUAUUUUCUAAAGUAAAUAGAGAGAGGUCAGCAGAGCCUCUCACAAGUACAAAGGAGCCUGGGCUUUAAGAUUUCAAGUGAUUAUGACACAAGCAGCUUAAGCAUUCUCAGCAAUGAAUUUUUUUUUCCUUCCAACCCCAAGAUAAAUAUAAUCUGCUCAAAGAUGUUAACCUACUGGACAGGUCCCCUUGCUGUAGAAAUACACAUUUAUAUAUGCGGAGGUGCAACGUUACCACAACAAUGAAUCUGCUGACUGUGGAAGGUACUGUGUCUAUCCUGGGACCUGGGGUAGGAACAUUUAAUCCUGGCUUUGCCAUUAUGACCUGGUAUUUUUUCCUCUAUUUUUUUUUCUUUCCCCUGUGAAAUAGAAAUGCCACAGCUAGCACCUGCAGACUGGGCAUCUAUCUGCUAGAGCAGAUAGAUGAGUUUGGUUGCCCAGAGUUUGGGCAGGGUGGCUGUGUUGCUGAUAGCACAUGAAGAUGUGACAUGGCCAGAAUGGCUGCUUGGACAUUCAGUGUGAAGGAUCAGGUAUAUGUUUUCAGAUUGGCCAUUUGGCCUUGGCUGCUGUCUGGAGAAAGGCUGGGAGUUAUGACUCUGCGACUAUAAUAUGGUGCUGCAAUGCUCAGCUGCUACAUCCUUAAAGACUGAGAAAUACCUCGCCUUAAUAUCGGUAAUGCCUUCAAAAUAAUGCUUAAGUGGGACUUCAGGGGUGGAAUGAGUCUAGUUCUAGACCUCUGGACAGAAUCAAAUUUAAUCCUUAGGGAACCUCAUCUGUGCCUCAGAACUGCAAAGUGCUGUGCACUCUACCCUGAUUGUUCAGUAACUUGCAGAAAUGAGCCCAUAUAAAGCAUUAAAGAACUUCAGAGCCUGGCAUUUGAUUGUGC